NNNNNNNNNNNNNNNNNNUGACGUGGAUGCUAGUUUCAUAGACUAAGCCAUGCAUGUGUAAGCGAAGCUUUUAGUGGAGCUGCGGAAGGCUCAGUAACGGGCGUCUAAUUUGAUCUCUUAGAGCGGACAACCUCUGUAAACGGAGGACAAAACGCAUUAUGGGCAUGUCCGAAAGAUGCCUAGACAACCGAAAGGUGUGAGAGAAUAAGGGGCCAUCCCAUCAGUUAGUAAGUAAGGUAAAGGCCUACUUAGACGAAGACGGGUACGGGGAAUUAUUGUUCGAUUCCGGAGAGGGAGCCUGAGAGAUGGCUACCAGGUCCAAGGAUAGCAGCAGGCGCGAAAAUUACCGAAGCCUAAAGUAGGGCGGUAGUAAUGAAACGUGGAAAACGAUGUACUGAUAAAAGAGGUAGUAGUGACUGGAGGUAAAGACUGGUGCCAGCAUCCGCGGUAAUACCAGCUCCAGGAGUGUCUAUGAUGAUUGUUGCAAUUAAAGAGUUCGUAGUCGAGUAGCAUGACAGGUCUUUAAAGUGGUGGAUCAAACGACGACCAGGAUCUGAAAAGCUAAGAAUGAGGAGCGAUCAGGGGCUAGUUUAUUAAGCGACGAAAGGUGAAAUUUGAUGACUCGCUUAGGAGAAACGGAGGCGAAGGCGCUAGCCAGGAGCGAAUCCGAUGAUAAAGGACGUAGGCUAGAGGAUCGAAGACGAUUAGAGACCGUUGUAGUUCUAGCAGUAAACGAUGCCGACGCUGUGCUAUGAACUGUAGUGCGGAAGAGAAAUCAAGUAGGGCCUUGGGGAGAGUACAUACGCAAGUAAGAAACUUAAACGAAAUUCACGGAAGAACACCACAAGGACUGGAGUGUGCGGCUUAAUUUGACUCAACGCGGGACAGCUUACCAAGCCCGACGACUGGACGAGUGUAGUACACGAUAGGUCGGAGAGUGGUGCAUGGCCGUUAACGACAAGUGGGGUGACCUUAUGGUUAAGUCCGGRAGUAGUGAGACCCCUGCUAGCGGAAGACGAGACGAGUUAGACAGGUACGCAAAGUACAGAAGGAAGGGUCAAGAACAGGUCAGUGAUGCCCUCAGAUGGCUUGGGCUGCACGCGCACUACAGUGGUCACACGAAUAAAGGAAAGUAACAGUAAAGGUGAUUGAGAGGGAAUGAGCUUUGUAAGAGGCUCAGGAACGAGGAAUUGCUAGUAAUCGCAGACUCAUUAAGAUGCGAUGAAUACGUCCCUGUUCUUUGUACACACCGCCCGUCGUUAUCGAAGAUGGAAUCAGGUGCGAACAAGUGAAAACGAGUGAGUACAGGGUUCUACAUGUGAUACAAGUCGUAACAAGGUAGCUGUAGGAGAACCUGUAGCUGGNNNNNNN
rnacentral:rRNA from 11 species